GACAGAGGGUGCAAACGUUGUUCGGAAUUACUGGGCGUAAAGCGUGUGUAGGCGGUUUGCUAAGUCGGAUGUGAAAGCCCCGGGCUCAACCCGGGAAGUGCACUCGAAACUGGCAGGCUAGAGUACUGGAGAGGUUGGUGGAAUUCUCGGUGUAGAGGUGAAAUUCGUAGAUAUCGAGAGGAACACCGGUGGCGAAGGCGGCCAACUGGACAGAUACUGACGCUGAGACACGAAAGCGUGGGGAGCAAACAGG
rnacentral:rRNA from 1 species